rnacentral:rRNA from 1 species
UGGGGAAUAUUGGGCAAUGGGCGCAAGCCUGACCCAGCCAUGCCGCGUGAGUGAUGAAGGCCUUCGGGUCGUAAAGCUCUGUGGGGAGGGAAGAAACCCGGUGUAGCUAAUACCUACGCCGAUUGACGGUACCUCCUUAGCAAGCACCGGCUAACUCCGUGCCAGCAGCCGCGGUAAUACGGAGGGUGCAAACGUUGCUCGGAAUCAUUGGGCGUAAAGCGCACGUAGGCGGCUCGUUAAGUCGGAUGUGAAAGCCCUGGGCUCAACCCAGGAAGUGCAUACGAAACUGGCGAGCUUGAGUAUGGAAGAGGGUCGCGGAAUUCCCGGUGUAGAGGUGAAAUUCGUAGAUAUCGGGAGGAACACCAGUGGCGAAGGCGGCGACCUGGGCCAAUACUGACGCUGAGGUGCGAAAGCGUGGGGAGCAAACA